GCGUAGGAAUCUACCUAUCGGUGGGGGAUAGCCCGGAGAAAUCCGGAUUAAUACCGCAUAUGUCCUACGGGACAAAGGGGCCCUCUCCUUGGAAGCUCUCGCCGAUAGAUGAGCCUGCGUUAGAUUAGCUAGUUGGUAGGGUAAAGGCCUACCAAGGCGACGAUCUAUAGCUGGUCUGAGAGGAUGAUCAGCCACACUGGGACUGAGACACGGCCCAGACUCCUACGGGAGGCAGCAGUGGGGAAUAUUGGACAAUGGGCGCAAGCCUGAUCCAGCAAUACCGCGUGUGUGAAGAAGGGU
rnacentral:rRNA from 1 species